UCCCUGGAGGCUUAGAUGGUAAAAAUCUGCCUGUAAUGCGGAAGACCCAGGUUCCAUCCCUGGCUGGGGAC
rnacentral:tRNA from 1 species